rnacentral:rRNA from 1 species
GAUGAACGCUGGCGGCGUGCUUAACACAUGCAAGUCGAACGAAGCACUUUAUUUGAUUUCCUUCGGGACUGAUUAUUUUGUGACUGAGUGGCGGACGGGUGAGUAAUGCGUGGGUAACCUGCCUUGUACAGGGGGAUAACAGUUGGAAACGGCUGCUAAUACCGCAUAAGCGCACAGCAUCGCAUGAUGCAGUGUGAAAAACUCCGGUGGUAUAAGAUGGACCCGCGUUGGAUUAGCUAGUUGGUGAGGUAACGGCCCACCAAGGCGACGAUCCAUAGCCGACCUGAGAGGGUGACCGGCCACAUUGGGACUGAGACACGGCCCAAACUCCUACGGGAGGCAGCAGUGGGGAAUAUUGCACAAUGGGCGAAAGCCUGAUGCAGCGACGCCGCGUGAGCGAAGAAGUAUUUCGGUAUGUAAAGCUCUAUCAGCAGGGAAGAUAAUGACGGUACCUGACUAAGAAGCACCGGCUAAAUACGUG